rnacentral:misc_RNA from 1 species
GAUGAAGAACGUAGCGAAAUGCGAUAAGUAAUGUGAAUUGCAGAAUUCAGUGAAUCAUCGAAUCUUUGAACGCACAUUGCGCCCCUUGGUAUUCCGAGGGGCAUGCCUGUUCGAGCGUCAUUAUAACCCCUCAAGCUCAGCUUGGUAUUGGGGCCUGCCAUCCUGGCAGCCCUUAAAAUCAGUGGCGGUGCCAUCCGGCUCUAAGCGUAGUAACUCUUCUCGCUAUGGAGUCCUGGUGGAUGCUUGCCAUCAACCCCCAAUUUUUCUAUGGUUGACCUCGGAUCAGGUAGGGAUACCCGCUGAACUUAAGCAUAUCAAUAAGCGGAGGA